AUUGAACGCUGGCGGCAUGCUUUACACAUGCAAGUCGAACGGUAACAGGUUAAGCUGACGAGUGGCGAACGGGUGAGUAAUGCAUCGGAACGUGCCCGAUCGUGGGGGAUAACGCAGCGAAAGCUGCGCUAAUACCGCAUACGAUCUGAGGAUGAAAGCGGGGGACCGUAAGGCCUCGCGCGAUCGGAGCGGCCGAUGUCAGAUUAGGUAGUUGGUGGGGUAAAGGCUCACCAAGCCAACGAUCUGUAGCUGGUCUGAGAGGACGACCAGCCACACUGGGACUGAGACACGGCCCAGACUCCUACGGGAGGCAGCAGCGGGGAAUUUUGGACAAUGGGCGAAAGCCUGAUCCAGCAAUGCCGCGUGCAGGAAGAAGGCCUCCGGGUUGUAAACUGCUUUUGUACGGAGCGAAAAGGCUCUCUCUAAUACAGGGGGCUCAUGACGGCACCGUAAGAAUAAGCACCGGCUAACUACGUGCCAGCAGCCGCCGUAA
rnacentral:rRNA from 1 species